UGGAAAACUACAAGGAUAAAAUACCCACCUUCGGGAAAAAGUCCAUCAUAUGCGAAAGGAAACUUACUCACGUGCGAAAGACGAACUCUAAGAAUUGGAGAAUAACGGCAGUAGACAGCAGCUAACUUCCCCUGUACUCAACGACAUUGAACAAUAGACAUGAAAUGACUCGCUGACCCCCUACAAAGUACUUGUGCUCGGAGGCAGAAUUUGGCAUCGUUUGGGUCGAGAGAUUUCCAAGGGUAAUGAUACAGUUAAACUGUAUAAAAAUACCUCUCAAAAACAACCUUCUCCUGGUCGGCCAUGUCCCUCAUCCUGCACUUGACCCCUGCAGAGGUCACAAGAACAUCGGAGCACAAAUGAGCGAGAAACGGGGAAGCCUUAGCUUCCGGGUCAAGGACUGCAUCACUAGCACCUACCUAUUGAACCUAUUGAUAGGUUUAAAAGUAGGCAUCUUCACGCAAUCUGCGGACCACCUCCUAGCAGCGAAAUACGGAUAUACCCUCCCUAUUACAUGCGUUCAACCGGCACCCGAACCACACGCUGUUUCUUAGACACAACUUCCCACUUAAAUCAGUGUCCUGUCGCAUCAACUGGCAUCGGCAAGUGGCGACACUGUGUAGACUCAACCCUGAGCUUGAUCAGAAUCUUCAGUCACAAACCUGACACCGUUUCGGGGCUUGCAAUACGGUUUUCUGUCAGGCUCCCAGCAGUUUCUUUUGGACCACCAUCUCAUCUGACAAUCACCCGAGGAUACCUGCCAGAGCUCGCAAUUUACGACGAGUUAGCUUAUGGCACCUCUGGCUGUUAAGUGAAGUCAUAAAGGUCAAACAGCUCUCAUCUCCCAUUCUCUCUUCCUAGACAGCAGACCUGGGAGAAACUCCUUCUAGCCGGACGUCACGCGUGAUGUACGAGAAACUACGGACAGGGUACUCCUACUUGCGUGCGAAAGACAAAGGCAGCAAGAAUCGAAGAACAGAACCCCGACCACACUGCUUGUGAGAAAUGAGCAGCUCUUGAUCUAGGACAAAAAACUUUCUUCUGUUUAAUAUCUAAAACGUGUUACGUGUGAUAUUACACCAACUUUUGAUUAAUAAUACGAAACUUUAUACCUUAUAAAGUAUGAUAUUUAAACACGAAAAUUUACAUUCUGAAAUUGGUAUAGUGUUCCUUUAACUGUUCCUUCAACUUUCAUCGUAGCUUUUUUCAAAAUAUUCUUCAGUGCCAUCAACAAACAGAUUUUUUCAUUUGACUGAACUGUGCCAUAUUUGAUAUUGCCUCUGUAUUUUAUAGGGAACAUUUUUUAAAUCUUGCAAGUUGAUGUAAUUAAGUUUUAAGUUAACGUAUUAUAGAUAUGUUAACACUAGUUUAUGUUUCAGUAUUUAAAUUGUUUCCAUUUAUAGUUUAACCGAUCCCUGUUGUAGAGUUAUCAGAUCUUUACUUAGGAUAAACAAUAUAAUAUGAAGUUCGAUAAUAAUAUUAAUAAA